rnacentral:miRNA from 1 species
UUUAUACGUCGAAUUUUGAUCGCGUUGCAUGCAAUUAAGACAAUAGAUAAUGAGAUGAUAAACCUCAUUAAGCUUCAUUAUCUAUUGUUUGAAUUGCAUCCGACGCGACCGAAAUUCGACGUAUAAA